rnacentral:rRNA from 1 species
CAUGCAAGUCGUGGGGCAGCGCAGUGUAGCAAUACAUGGGCGGCGACCGGCAAACGGGUGCGGAACACGUACGCAACCUUCCUUCAAGUGGGGGAUAGCCCGGGGAAACCCGGAUUAAUACCCCGUAAUACUGUGAGAUGGCAUCAUCUUACACUUAUAGCUCCGGCGCUUGAAGAUGGGCGUGCGCCUGAUUAGGUAGUUGGCGGGGUAACGGCCCACCAAGCCUUCGAUCAGUAACUGGUGUGAGAGCACGACCAGUCACACGGGCACUGAGACACGGGCCCGACUCCUACGGGAGGCAGCAGUAAGGAAUAUUGGUCAAUGGACGCAAGUCUGAACCAGCCAUGCCGCGUGGAGGAUGAAGGUCCUCUGGAUUGUAAACUUCUUUUAUCUGGGAAGAAACCCACGGUUUCUACUGUGGUUGACGGUACCAGAUGAAUAAGCACCGGCUAACUCCGUGCCAGCAGCCGCGGUAAUACGGAGGGUGCAAGCGUUAUCCGGAUUCACUGGGUUUAAAGGGUGCGUAGGUGGGUUGGUAAGUCAGUGGUGAAAUCUCCGAGCUUAACUUGGAAACUGCCGUUGAUACUAUCAAUCUUGAAUAUCGCGUAGGUAAGCGGAAUAUGUCAUGUAGCGGUGAAAUGCUUAGAUAUGACAUAGAACACCAAUUGCGAAGGCAGCUUACUUCACGAUCAUUGACACUGA